CAGCCAGGACGACCUGACUAGCGUGUCUUUAUCGGGGACGACCCC
rnacentral:ncRNA from 1 species